CAUGCAAGUCGAACGAAGCUUGACGAACGAUUCUUCGGAUGAAUUCUGAUAUGACUGAGUGGCGAACGGGUGAGUAACGCGUGAGGAACCUGCCUCAAAGAGGGGGACAACAGUUGGAAACGACUGCUAAUACCGCAUAAGCCCACGGCUCGGCAUCGAGCAGAGGGAGAAGGAGCAAUCCGCUUUGAGAUGGCCUCGCGUCCGAUUAGCUAGUUGGUGAGGUAACGGCCCACCAAGGCGACGAUCGGUAGCCGGACUGAGAGGUUGAACGGCCACAUUGGGACUGAGACACGGCCCAGACUCCUACGGGAGGCAGCAGUGGGGAAUAUUGCACAAUGGGGGGAACCCUGAUGCAGCGACGCCGCGUGGAGGAAGAAGGUCUUCGGAUUGUAAACUCCUGUUGUUGAGGAAGAUAAUGACGGUACUCAACAAGGAAGUGACGGCUAACUACGUG
rnacentral:rRNA from 1 species